rnacentral:rRNA from 1 species
CCUACGGGAGGCAGCAGUAGGGAAUAUUGCACAAUGGGGGAAACCCUGAAGCAGCAACGCCGCGUGGAGGAUGAAGGAUUUCGGAUUGUAAACCUCUAUUGUUAGAGAAGAAAAUGACGGUAUUUAAUGAAUAAGAACCGGCUAACACCGAGCCAGCAGCAGCGGUAAUAAGGAGGUGGGAAGCGUUACUCGGAAUCACUGGGGGUAAAGAGCGCGUAGGCGGGAUAGCAAGUCAGAUGUGAAAUCCUCUGGCUUAACCAUAGAAGUGCUUUUGAAACUGUUAUUCUAGAGUCUUGGAGAGGUAGGUGGAAUUCUUGGUGUAGCGGUGAAAUGCGUAGAUAUUAAGAGGAAUACUCGUGGCGAAGGCGACCUGCUAGAACAUAACUGACGCUGAGGCUCGAAAGCGUGGGGAGCAAACAGGAUUAGAUACCCCAGUAGUC